GACGAACGCUGGCGGCGUGCUUAACACAUGCCAGUCGAACGGAAAGGCCCUGCUUUUGUGGGGUGCUCGAGUGGCGAACGGGUGAGUAACACGUGAGUAACCUGCCCUUGACUUUGGGAUAACUUCAGGAAACUGGGGCUAAUACCGGAUAGGAGCUCCUGCUGCAUGGUGGGGGUUGGAAAGUUUCGGCGGUUGGGGAUGGACUCGCGGCUUAUCAGCUUGUUGGUGGGGUAGUGGCUUACCAAGGCUUUGACGGGUAGCCGGCCUGAGAGGGUGACCGGCAACAGUGGGACUGAGAUACGGCCCAGACUCCUACGGGAGGCAGCAGUGGGGAAUAUUGCACAAUGGGCGGAAGCCUGAUGCAGCAACGCCGCGUGCGGGAUGACGGCCUUCGGGUUGUAAACCGCUUUCGCCUGUGACGAAGCGUGAGUGACGGUAAUGGGUAAAGAAGCACCGGCUAACUACGUG
rnacentral:rRNA from 1 species